CUGAGAGGCGACGGUUGUUUCGAUUUUUAGCUCCCCCGGGACAUCCAUAUCCCUCAUUAAUCUCGUGUGUCAUCGCAGCAAGUGAGACAAAGAAUGGAAAAUAAAACAGACUUUCAUAAUUUUAUGUAAAUCCAGAGACGUAUCUUGGUAUCUACAGAGUUCUGAAUGAUAAGCAUUUGAGGAAUGGUAGCUGUCGCCGCGAUGGUGGAGUUUGAAAAAUGCCUUUCCGCUGGGAGUUCUUCAGCUGGUGAGAACCUUUUCAAUGGAACAAUAAAGGCCGACGACGGCGGUAAUAAUGGCGGCGCCAGUUCAAGUUUCGGAAACUUGAUUGGAGUCAUGUUCGACCAUACCGAAGUGUUGGAGACCAACGCAUUGGGCCGGACCUCUUUGGUAACUAUCUUAACAAUCUGAAGCAACAGGUUUUGGUCGAUAAGGUGCUGUUCAAUAAUUAUCUUCGAAAUGACGACAUUCCCAGAAUUGGAUGCAUACCAAUAGAAUGUCUGUUACACCAAAGCGGCAAGUGCUCGGAAGUGACUGUUGAUUAAAGUAGUCUGCUGAACUGACAAACCUAUUGUCUGAUAGAAACUUACUCAAAAGUAUGUUGGAAGUUUUGAAGUGGCUGUAUGAACCUGCAUGAAGGUUUAAUUUAAAUACUUGAAGGUUGUGUGAAUGUAUGUGUGUGAUUAAAAUUCAAAUAGAACUUUCUACUAUUCUAUCUGAUCAGUUGUGUAAGCUGAACAGCCUUGGAUAUAAUAGGUUUUUAAAUGAUUUUUCUGCUAAGUAUUAAGUAUAUACAAUGCAAUGGAGUCUGUAAUUCUAAGGAAUAACUCCGCACGGACUGCAAGGAAGUUUACCUCGAAUACGACAGCCACUAGGGA